rnacentral:rRNA from 1 species
UACGUAGGCAGCAAGCGUUGUUCGGAAUUACUGGGCGUAAAGGGUGCGUAGGCGGUUGGCUAAGUUUGGUGUGAAAUCUCCCGGCUUAACUGGGAGGGUGCGCCGAAAACUGGCUGGCUAGAGUGUGGGAGAGGGAAGUGGAAUUCCUGGCGUAGCGGUGAAAUGCGUAGAUAUCAGGAGGAACACCUGAGGUGUAGAUGGCUUCCGGGACCAUUACUGACGCUGAGGCACGAAAGCGUGGGGAGCAAACAGG